UCCAAUAGCGUAUAUUAAAGUUGUUGCAGUUAAAAAGCUCGUAGUUGAACCUUGGGUCUGGCUGGCCGGUCCGCCUCACCGCGUGCACUGGUCCGGCCGGGCCUUUCCUUCUGGGGAGCCCCAUGGCCUUCACUGGCUGUGGGGGGUAACCAGGACUUUUACUGUGAAAAAAUUAGAGUGUUCAAAGCAGGCCUUUGCUCGGAUACAUUAGCAUGGAAUAAUAGAAUAGGACGUGCGGUUCUAUUUUGUUGGUUUCUAGGACCGCCGUAAUGAUUAAUAGGGAUGGUCGGGGGCGUCAGUAUUCGGCUGUCAGAGGUGAAAUUCUUGGAUUUGCCGAAGACUAACUACUGCGAAAGCAUUCGCCAAGGAUGUUUUCAUUAAUCAGUGAACGAAAGUUAGGGGAUCGAAGACGAUCAGAUACCGUCGUAGUCUUAACCAUAAACUAUGCCGACUAGGGAUCGGACGGUGUU
rnacentral:rRNA from 1 species